UGGGGAAUUUUGGACAAUGGGCGCAAGCCUGAUCCAGCCAUUCCGCGUGCAGGACGAAGGCCUUCGGGUUGUAAACUGCUUUUGUACGGAACGAAAAGGCUCUGGCUAAUACCUGGGGCUCAUGACGGUACCGUAAGAAUAAGCACCGGCUAACUACGUGCCAGCAGCCGCGGUAAUACGUAGGGUGCAAGCGUUAAUCGGAAUUACUGGGCGUAAAGCGUGCGCAGGCGGUUAUGUAGGACGGAGGUGAAAUCCCCGGGCUCAACCUGGGAACUGCCUUUGUGACUGCAUAGGUGGAGGACGGCAGAGGGGGAGGGAAGUCCGCGUGUAGCAGUGAAAUGCGUAGAUAUGCGGAGGAACACCGAUGGCGAAGGCAAUCCCCUGGGCCUGUACUGACGCUCAUGCACGAAAGCGUGGGGAGCAAACA
rnacentral:rRNA from 1 species